CCAGGGCCCUGGGCUUCGAACCCGGCUGCUGAUCACAGGCCUGUUCGGGGCUGGACUCGGUGGGGUCUGGCUGGCCCUGAGGGCUGAGAAGGAGAGGCUGCAGCAGCAAAAGCGAACAGAAGCCCUGCGCCAGGCAGCUGUGGGCCAGGGCGACUUCCACCUGCUGGAUCACAGAGGCCGGGCUCGCUGCAAGGCUGACUUCCGGGGCCAGUGGUCUCCCCUGCCCCCAGCUCCAGUGGCCCCUCAGCACUCCUAGCCCGCUGCCCACCUACCAAAGUCAGCGGCUUCCCUGGGGUCUGCUCCCUCGGGCUCCGGUCCUCCUCUGCAGGCCGCAGCCACUGCUCAGCCACCUGUCCAGAGAAAGCAUCUGUGAGGGGCACUGUCACCUCCCAUCAGGGCCACCACGGGGUCCUAGAUCACAGC
rnacentral:lncRNA from 1 species